UUGUCCGGAUUUACUGGGCGUAAAGGGAGCGUAGGUGGAUUCUUAAGUGAGAUGUGAAAUACCCGGGCUUAACUUGGGUGCUGCAUUUCAAACUGGGAAUCUAGAGUGCAGGAGAGGAAAGUGGAAUUCCUAGUGUAGCGGUGAAAUGCGUAGAGAUUAGGAAGAACACCAGUGGCGAAGGCGACUUUCUGGACUGUAACUGACACUGAGGCUCGAAAGCGUGGGGAGCAAACAGGAUUAGAUACCCUGGUAGUCCACGCCGUAAACGAUGGAUACUAGGUGUGGGAGGUAUCAACUCCUUCCGUGCCGCCGUUAACACAUUAAGUAUCCCGCCUGGGGAGUACGGUCGCAAGAUUAAAACUCAAAGGAAUUGACGGGGACCCGCACAAGCAGCGGAGCAUGUGGUUUAAUUCGAAGCAACGCGAAGAACCUUACCUAGACUUGACAUCUCCUGAAUUACUCUUAAUCGAGGAAGUCCCUUCGGGGACAGGAAGACAGGUGGUGCAUGGUUGUCGUCAGCUCGUGUCGUGAGAUGUUGGGUUAAGUCCCGCAACGAGCGCAACCCUUAUUGUUAGUUGCUACCAUUUAGUUGAGCACUCUAGCGAGACUGCCCGGGUUAACCGGGAGGAAGGUGGGGAUGACGUCAAAUCAUCAUGCCCCUUAUGUCUAGGGCUACACACGUGCUACAAUGGCUGGUACAAAGAGAAGCAAGACCGUGAGGUGGAGCAAAACUCAAAAACCAGUCCCAGUUCGGAUUGUAGGCUGAAACUCGCCUACAUGAAGCCGGAGUUGCUAGUAAUCGCGAAUCAGCAUGUCGCGGUGAAUACGUUCCCGGGUCUU
rnacentral:rRNA from 1 species